ACCGUGAGAGAGAGGGAAGGAAGAAGAGGAAAGCUCCUCUAAUCAACACUCAUGGGGUUUUGAAGAUGCUUGAAGGGGGUGAAGAAAGAAAAAGAAGAUCAUCCAUGGGAAGCUUGGGAGGAAUUGGAGAAAGCUAGGAGAAAGACAAGGAUGGAACUAAGGUCGAGACGAGAACAUCGUCCUAUUACCACCGGGAACUGAUCACUGUGAGUAGUAGUACAAAAAUGUACAUUUUAUCUACUGUUGAUAAUUAUUGUCACUAAUGUUUUGUUCCUUGUAAGUGUUAUAAGAACAUUUAUGCCAAUUGGAAAGCAAUGUGAACUGCUGAAAGAUUCGCGUACGUUGGUAACCAACCAAGUGGUCAAUC